UACGAAGGGGGCUAGCGUUGCUCGGAAUCACUGGGCGUAAAGCGCACGUAGGCGGAUUGUUAAGUCAGGGGUGAAAUCCUGGAGCUCAACUCCAGAACUGCCUUUGAUACUGGCGAUCUCGAGUCCGGGGAGAGGUGAGUGGAACUGCGAGUGUAGAGGUGAAAUUCGUAGAUAUUCGCAAGAACACCAGUGGCGAAGGCGGCUCACUGGCCCGGUACUGACGCUGAGGUGCGAA
rnacentral:rRNA from 1 species